GUACACAAAAAUGCACAUGCUGUGAGCUCGAUGAGUAGGGCGGGACACGUGGUAUCCUGUCUGAAUAUGGGGGGACCAUCCUCCAAGGCUAAAUACUCCUGACUGACCGAUAGUGAACCAGUACCGUGAGGGAAAGGCGAAAAGAACCCCGGCGAGGGGAGUGAAAAAGAACCUGAAACCGUGUACGUACAAGCAGUGGGAGCACAGAGCAAUCUGUGUGACUGCGUACCUUUUGUAUAAUGGGUCAGCGACUUAUAUUCUGUAGCAAGGUUAACCGAAUAGGGGAGCCGAAGGGAAACCGAGUCUUAACUGGGCGUUAAGUUGCAGGGUAUAGACCCGAAACCCGGUGAUCUAGCCAUGGGCAGGUUGAAGGUUGGGUAACACUAACUGGAGGACCGAACCGACUAAUGUUGAAAAAUUAGCGGAUGACUUGUGGCUGGGGGUGAAAGGCCAAUCAAACCGGGAGAUAGCUGGUUCUCCCCGAAAGCUAUUUAGGUAGCGCCUCGUGAAUUCAUCUCCGGGGGUAGAGCACUGUUUCGGCAAGGGGGUCAUCCCGACUUACCAACCCGAUGCAAACUGCGAAUACCGGAGAAUGUUAUCACGGGAGACACACGGCGGGUGCUAACGUCCGUCGUGAAGAGGGAAACAACCCAGACCGCCAGCUAAGGUCCCAAAGUCAUGGUUAAGUGGGAAACGAUGUGGGAAGGCCCAGACAGCCAGGAUGUUGGCUUAGAAGCAGCCAUCAUUUAAAGAAAGCGUAAUAGCUCACUGGUCGAGUCGGCCUGCGCGGAAGAUGUAACGGGGCUAAACCAUGCACCGAAGCUGCGGCAGCGACACUAUGUGUUGUUGGGUAGGGGAGCGU
rnacentral:rRNA from 1 species